AUUGAACGCUGGCGGCAUGCCUUACACAUGCAAGUCGAACGGUAACGGGCCUUCGGGUGCCGACGAGUGGCGAACGGGUGAGUAAUACAUCGGAACGUGCCCGAUCGUGGGGGAUAACGAGGCGAAAGCUUUGCUAAUACCGCAUACGAUCUACGGAUGAAAGCAGGGGACCGCAAGGCCUUGCGCGGACGGAGCGGCCGAUGGCAGAUUAGGUAGUUGGUGGGAUAAAAGCUUACCAAGCCGACGAUCUGUAGCUGGUCUGAGAGGAUGAUCAGCCACACUGGGACUGAGACACGGCCCAGACUCCUACGGGAGGCAGCAGUGGGGAAUUUUGGACAAUGGGCGCAAGCCUGAUCCAGCCAUGCCGCGUGCAGGAUGAAGGCCUUCGGGUUGUAAACUGCUUUUGUACGGAACGAAAAGCCUUCUUUUAAAACAGGAGGGUCAUGACGGUACCGUAAGAAUAAGCACCGGCUAACUACGUG
rnacentral:rRNA from 1 species